rnacentral:rRNA from 1 species
CCAGGCUAANACAUGCAGUCGAGCGGAUGAAGGGAGCUGCUCCUGGAUUCAGCGGCGGACGGGUGAGUAAUGCCUAGGAAUCUGCCUGGUAGUGGGGGAUAACGUCCGGAAACGGGCGCUAAUACCGCAUACGUCCUGAGGGAGAAAGUGGGGGAUCUUCGGACCUCACGCUAUCAGAUGAGCCUAGGUCGGAUUAGCUAGUUGGUGGGGUAAAGGCCUACCAAGGCGACGAUCCGUAACUGGUCUGAGAGGAUGAUCAGUCACACUGGAACUGAGACACGGUCCAGACUCCUACGGGAGGCAGCAGUGGGGAAUAUUGGACAAUGGGCGAAAGCCUGAUCCAGCCAUGCCGCGUGUGUGAAGAAGGUCUUCGGAUUGUAAAGCACUUUAAGUUGGGAGGAAGGGCAGUAAGUUAAUACCUUGCUGUUUUGACGUUACCAACAGAAUAAGCACCGGCUAACUUCGUGCCAGCAGCCGCGGUAUUACGAAGGGUGCAGCGUUAAUCGGAAUUACUG